CCUCGUUUUAAUAUUGUUGUGUGUAAACUAAAAUCACUCCCAUAUUAAAACUGUCACUUCGAAGGUGACCAAGUCAUUGCGACUGAGCUGCUAAGCAAUGGGCAACAAGCGACGACAAUAACCUUCGCGUUAGCUUGUUAGCAUUCAAUGCUGACGGAUAGUCCUGGCAUUGCUCCACCAAUCCGCGUUGAGACGGUCGGAGGCGGAAGUGACUGUCGAAUGCUCGAGGCGCCAAAAUCGAAGCGUGAAAAGUGCGAGAUAAGGAAUACAAUAAGUAUCGAAUAUACAGUUGAGAGAUUUGAUAUCUGGACUGGAGGUGGGUUGUGGGAAGUGGACUGCAUAGGUCUCGGCCGACGGCCUAUAUGGGCCCGGUACGACGAGACCGGUGCGCCACGACCUGCAACAAACCAAAAGAGACACGAAGAGCUGGUGGCGGUGGUGCGGAGGGAGCUGAAGUGCGAGUGCAACCAAACUGUACCGUGAGUGUAACAAAGGGCUGUAGCUUAGAUGAUGUGAUCGACGAAGGGGCAGAUGAGAUUGAGUACACACAGGUUAAAAUAGCAAGGAAACAGUCAUGAUCAGGAGCAAGUAGCGGAAAAGAUCAUGAUGGAAGACAAACAAAGAAAAAGAUACGAGCUAAAACAAAUGGCAAAGAAGAGUCAGAUGAAGAAUGCAAAGUUCUUAUUACAAUGAGCAAAGAUAAAGGACAUUUUCACCCAGUUCAUCUGACUAAAGCAAUUGAAAAAGAAAUAGGGAAAGUUAAAUACGCCAAAAUGCUCAAUAACAGAAGAAUACUAAUAUCGACAGCAAGAAAACAUGAGGUUGAAAUACCUUGAUGGAGGAGAAAUAAAAGUACACAUACCAGGAGAGGCAGCAGCAAUAAGAGGAGUUCUAUCAAACGUACCGAUGGAAAUGUCCAUGGAUGAGGUGAAGAGAGAAAUAAGAGGUGGCAAAAUAACAGAAGCUAGACGACUCCAAACCAGCAGAGGAGGAGUAAAAAGUGACAGUUUGUCGGUAUUACUUGUAUUUGAAAAGACAAUACCGACAGACAUACGUAUAGGGGGUAUGAAUUUUAGGGUGAGGGAGUACAUUCCUCAACCACUAAGAUGUUAUAAAUGUCAGAGAAUGGGACACACAGCACAGCAAUGCCAGUGGAGGCAAAGGUGUGCAAAGUGUGGUGGAUUGUUUGUGGAGGAGAACAUAGUGCCGCAUAUGGCGGCUGUGAAGUGCAAAGACAUGCCAAAGAAGUGCAAAAAUACAAAAGAGAAAAUAAGGUAUCAUAUGCUGAAGCAGUAAAGAGUAUAGGUAUGUGUGUAAUUAAGCAAAAUAAACCAGUAGAGAAUCAGGAAACUCAUAUAGACCAGACAGGACAAGCAGUAGGACUUCCUCAGAGAACAGACCAUAGAAGAUCUCAAUUAGAAUGGACUGCUCCCCAACAGAAAUGUAAUCAUAAGUGUGCAAUUGAAGAAGACACAUUAGUAGUAAAUAAAAAGAACUUUGUAGCUUUUAUAUGUAAAGUCAUCAGUGUGGCCACGAGGCAGCAAAGGAAAAGUGACAGAACAAUAUUUAAACAUCAAAGACGUGAAAGCAGAAGGCCCACAGCAAAUUGAGGAGUGUUAAUUUUUUGGUGUUGAUGAGAAUCUUGAAGUUGGAGUGUCAAUCUUACACUAUUUGGAGUUGAUGUAACACUGCAUUUUCUUAAAAAUGUGUAAAUUUAACACCGGAUCAUGAAAGUGUUGUAGUUAAAAUGGAAUGUUGAAAAUGUUCAAAUCUUGUUGGUGUCACCAUAAAAACAUCCAACACUUCCACACUCCAUUUGACGCCUAACAGUGUUCACGUGUUUUAAGCUCCGCCCACGGACAUUUCAUUUAGACUCCACCCCUCACUUCACGUUGCUGAAAUGAAAAGCAGAUGGAAGAAGUUGACAAUUAGGAAUCAUUUUGCAUCAGUAGUUAUAUUUUCUAUUUAGUGUUGCUGUGAGCUGAAUCGGCACUGCCUGUGCAACAUUUGUCAAAGAGGAGCCCCCAGCAAAGGACUUGAUAUGCUGUACAAGAUACAAGAUAUCAAGAAUGAUGCAUCUGUAUUUUUCUUCUUGGGUCAUAGAAAACCUUUGCUUGAGUCUUACAUGAAUGUGAGGUGGAUGGGGAUGUCUUUGAUGAACUUGUCAAGUCAGGUGUUUUGACUUUCAAGGUCCUUUUAUCAGUGACAGGUAAGGAUGUGAAAACAUUUGAAAAUGCAUGAGGUGGUUUAGAUAUUACAAGCAGUGUGGACCCAUCAGGUACCUUGGUUUUGUCCAAAUGAGAUAUUGUUGUCAUGAUCUUUGAGGCCUCAAAAUGUAUUUUUGGUCUCACUUUACAAUAAGGUACGCAAAAAUACAGUAGUUACUGAGGAAGUAAUUACUAAAGCACAGAUUUACAGUAGUAGAGGAUCUAAUGAACUAAAAAGGAACCAAUGAGCAGAGUAGUUACUGAGGAACUAAAACACAUUUAGAGUAGUUACUAAGAAACUAAUGAGUAGUGGAUAAGGUUAGAUAGGUUUGUUCCUCAUCCUGCAUGACUGUAAUUUUGUGUACCUUAUUGUAAAGUGAGACAGUAUUUUCAUUUGAUAUUCAAUUUUUAGCCCCUUUUCCAUAGGUUGAAAUUCCCCAAAAUUAUUUUUUUUGUUUUCGUAGUAAUUAGUGUUUUGUACUGUUUUGUCAUUUGACUGGAGAUGAAGCAGACUCCACUAUCCCCAGCUUCACCCCAGUUAUCGCCAGUUGGUGGCGAUAACAGGUUCGACAAUUUAUCCUUCAGCCCACAAGAAAGAGGAACCCAACAGAACCAAUGGAUCAGGAUGAAUCAAGACAGAAAGUCGGUGGUGUUUUGAGGGCCAAUCCGAAAGAUGGUGAACAUCCUGGUUGCAGAUAUGAUGGAGCUGCAUGGGUCACUUCCCCCUUUCCAUUAGAACAGUCAUUCCAGACUGUCAUCAACUGCAGUAAGACCAUGUACUGUGGGAAUGGUUCUGUCUGUGAUCAUUAACUAUGAUGUGUUUUGAAAGGAGGGUUUCACCAUCAUGUGUGAUGACAAAUUGCGCCCUGGAGGUAGAGCAGGUCGUCCAGAAAUCGUAAGGUUGGUUGGAUCCUUGCUCCCUCCACCGAGUCACUGUUGUGUCCUACACUUCUCUUGGCUCUCAAAGUUGUUCCAAGACUGUUUCUUCAUGAUGGUCCAAAAACCAGAGGAGAAUAUCUGUUAACUGGUCAACAGCUGCUUGGUGAGGAGUGCAGGGAGGCACUAUCUACAAUAAGACAUUCAACCGAUGAAUCCAUGGUCAAAGGCGAUGAGAGCAACUUUCCAGUAUCGGCAGAAUAUGAUCCAAGCACAAGAUGUAUCAUCGUCUGUCCUCAAUGUGUUCCCUCGCUUCCUUGAUGUUCCUGGAUUGAUUGACCAGGAUUUCUCAGUGAUGUUUGCUGAUGAAGUAUCUCAGAGGUUCCUGGCUAAGUGGUCAACUGUCUUCAAAGCAAAAGUCAUUGCAGACUGCAAGACUCUCCUGCAAAAGCAGAACAUUGAUGAGUUGCUGUCAGGAACUGAACCUCAACCUGAUGACAGCUGUGGCUGGGGCAGUGAUACAUCCUGCAACCUUCUACUCCUGCAUCUGCUCCCUCCGACUUCAAGAGGCCAGGAAAAAACAGCAAAGAUCAGUUUGGCUCAAGCAGCCAACCAUCUUCUCAGACAUCUUAAGGAAGGAGCCAGUGUGACCCCCUUCCAAGACUGUUGACACAAGACAAGCAUUUCUCCUCUGCAUCAGUGAGCGAAGGUGACAUCCAGAGGUUCUACAUGAUUGACCAAAAGCCGAUUACAUGCAAGGCACAUACAUUUAUUGCAGCUCUGAAGUUGAUUCCCAAGCAUACAAAACAUUGGCCCUCUUAUCCAUACGUGGUGCAAGUGUUUUGAAGCCAAACACAAUUCUUUCAAAAGGUGUGGUUAAAAUUUUCAAAAAUCUCAAGUCGUUUGUCAUGGCCUUUCAGUAUGAAAAUUAUUAUUUUAGAAGAUUUGCAUUUGGCCCUACAUCAAAAACAAUCUGCAACUUAAAAGGUGGGGAGGAACGUGGUCAGGCAUGAUGUUUGCAAGCAUCUUCCAAGUGUGUCAAGUACCAACUGGGUGAGAAGCUACGGUAUAGAGUACCAUGUUGGUGUGUUCAUAUGUACUGGAUGUAGCUUUGAUCUACCUGUGUUCAAGAAGAUCUGUGAUAUAAUAAAACACAAAGAAUGUGCUUUCAUAAUAGCUGUAAUGUAGAAAUAAUGUACUAUGAUGACCUGUUUAACGCGUACUGCAUAGAAGACCAAAUGCUUGAGUUUUCUGUCAUGUUUAAAUGAACUAAUUUCAGACCAUUUGACAAGCAGUGCUCUAAUGACAGUUGUCAAAGAGCAUACAUACUGUAGUGCCUGCUGUUAUUUAAGCUACUGUCUGUUGGAAAUGAAAAGUUUUUGAAUAAAAUGUAUGA